rnacentral:lncRNA from 13 species
ACAGAUCUGCAGCCAUAAUUAGCCCCUGGGCUGCCAGUUGGAGACUUCUGCUCUACAUACUAUGGAAUCUGCUGAUGAAGAGAAAACUCUUUGCUGUAAAAAGAGGAGUGAGACUAAUUUCAACCACCAAAAUACCCUAUUUGCCUAAAUAAAGUGUGGGGCAACUCAUCAGUUCCAUAGAGGGUAUACAUGGGGAAGAGUACCUACAGAUGCCAUUUGGAAGACAGCUCCAGGAAGCCAUCCGAUCCUCUGCCCCAGGGUUGUAUUGUCUGCAUGAUCCUUGUCACCCACUGGAAGUGUGCAACAAGAGUCAGGACAGCCCUUCACAAGAGGGACAGAGAAGUCCUUCUAGCACAAAGAGCCCCCCAGUAUCUGGGGACCAGAAAAUACCAGUGGGACCCCAAGUGCAGAAAAGGCUCUGAAAGAGAUCCUGGGAACCACAGGUGGAGCAUGUCCUUCCCGACGCUGGCGUGGGCAGGCAAGUGGAAUCGAUAGGAGGCAUUCAGACUCACAGAACUUUUUUUUUUUCCUGAAAGAAAGAAAAAGAGAAAGUGGGGAAGCAAACAGGGGUCUUGUUCUAUUGCCCAGGCUGGAAUGCAAUCUAAAAAUAGGUAUUAAAAACCUCUUUUAUGCCAGUAAUUGUGCUUAACAGUGGAGACAGGAAGGAAUACGGGAAGAAAAUAACAGACAAACAGCCAACCAAUAUUUCAUUUAAGUCUAUGAAAUGCUAUGCAAAUGCUGAAGAGUGAUUUACUUCCAAUUAUGUGGUCACUUUCAAAAUAAGUGUAAUGUGAUACUGGAGAAAGUGUAUGUUCUGUAGACCUGGGGUGAAGAAUUCCAUAAAUAUUCGCUGAGUUUACUUGUACCAGGUCUGAGUUCAAAUCAUAGAUGUCCCUGUUAAUUUUCUACCUCGUUGAUCCGUCGAAUAUUAACAGUGUGGUGUCAAAGUCUCCCGCUAUUAUUGUGCGGGAGUCCAAGUCUCUAAGUCAUUAAGAACUUGUCUUGUGUAUCUGGGUGCUCCUAUAUUGUGUGCAUAUAUAUUUAUGAUCAUUGACUCCUGUUGUUACAUUGAUCCUUUUACCAUUAUGUAAUGUCCUUCUUUGUUUCUUUUAGUCUUUGUUACUAUUAAAGUCUAUUUUGUCAGAGACGAAAGUUACAACUCCUGGUUUUUUUUUUUUUUCCUCUCCAUUUGAUUGAUAAGUCUUCCACCAACCCUUUGUUUUGAGUCUUUGUGUGACCUUGCUGC